UACUUGCCCUCGAGACCGGGAUAGUGUCGGGAAACUGGCAGUAAUACCGGAUAACAUCUUCGGAUCAAAUGGUGUGAUUCCGCUCGAGGAUAGGACCGCGUACUAUUAGCUUGUUGGUGAGGUAACGGCUCACCAAGGCUGCGAUGGUUACCGGGUGUGAGAGCAUGGCCCGGCUCACUGGGACUGAGACACUGCCCAGACACCUACGGGUGGCUGCAGUCGAGAAUCUUCGGCAAUGGACGAAAGUCUGACCGAGCGACGCCGCGUGCGGGAUGAAGGCCCUCGGGUUGUAAACCGUUGUCAGUAGUUAGGAAAUCCAUGAGGGUUAUCUCUCAUGGUUGACCGAUCUUCAGAGGAAGGACGGGCUAAGUUCGUGCCAGCAGCCGCGGUAAGACGAACCGUCCAAACGU
rnacentral:rRNA from 1 species